rnacentral:rRNA from 1 species
GAUGAACGCUGGCGGCGUGCCUAAUACAUGCAAGUAGAACGCACAGUCUAUACCGUAGCUUGCUACACCAUAGACUGUGAGUUGCGAACGGGUGAGUAACGCGUAGGUAACCUGCCUGGUAGCGGGGGAUAACUAUUGGAAACGAUAGCUAAUACCGCAUAAUAUUAAUUAUUGCAUGAUAAUUAAUUGAAAGGUGCAAUUGCACCACUACCAGAUGGACCUGCGUUGUAUUGGCUAGUAGGUGAGGUAACGGCUCACCUAGGCGACGAUACAUAGCCGACCUGGGAGGGGGGUCGGCCACACUGGGACUGGGACACGGCCCAGGCUCCUUCGGGAGGCAGCAGGAGGGAAUCUUCGGCAAUGGGCGAAAGUCUGGCCGGGCAACGCCGCGGGAGUGGAGAAGGGUUUCGGAUCGUAAAGCUCUGUUGUAAGGGAAAAACGGGUUUGGGAGUGGAAAGUUCACACUGUGACGGUAUCUUACCAGAAAGGGACGGCUAACUACGUG